rnacentral:rRNA from 1 species
AGUGAACGCUGGCGGCAGGCCUAACACAUGCAAGUCGAGCGGCAGAAGAGUACGAGCUUCUUCUUUCGGGGGCCGAGUGGCGGAUGAUGGCGGGAAACCUGCCUGGUUGUUGUUUAUUACGUGAGAAAACAGGGGCUAUUACGCCAUACCUCCUUAGGGCCAACGGGUGAAAUCUUCGGAUCUCACGAUAUUGGAUGAUCGUAUGUGCCGUGGUCGGAUUAGCUAGUUGGCGGGGUAACGGCCCACCAAGGCGACGAUCCGUAACUGGUCUGAGAGGAUGAUCAGCCACACUGGAACUGAGACACGGUCCAGACUCCUACGGGAGGCAGCAGUGGGGAAUAUUGGACAAUGGGCGCAAGCCUGAUCCAGCCAUGCCGCGUGGGUGAAGAAGGCCUUCGGAUUGUAAAGCACUUUUGGUUGGAAAGAAGGGCAGUAAGUUAAUACCCUGCUGUUUUGACGUUACCCAAAGAAUAAGCACCGGCUAACUUCGUG